rnacentral:tmRNA from 1 species
GGGGAUGCACUGGUUUCGACGUGGAAGUGGAAGCCAGAGUCGCAGGUCGAGGUGCCGCAGGCCUCGUUAAAAGCGGCAAAAAUGUAAUUGCCAACAAGAACGAUUACGCCUACGCCUGCGCUGCCUAAAGCAGCGUGACGUACAAGGGCCUCUUGAAGGCCCGGUCAGCAUGGGUGACGCCUGAUGGCUUAUGCUGGCCACGACUAUCAGGCUGGCGGGAGCAUAUGCCUACCGGUGCUUUCCGCGAGAUCUUACGGCGGGCUGGUCUUCAUGCGCUAGUCCGGACGCUACCAUGAAGAUGAGAUUGAAUGCCGGACUAAACCUGUAGAAGCUUUGCGUGGAAUUUUCGCGGACGGGAGUUCGACUCUCCCCAUCUCCACCA